UCAUUGUAGCAUACAAGGCAUACGGCUCAGUAACGCGUAGUCAACCUAACCUAUGGACGGGAAUAACCUCGGGAAACUGAGAAUAAUGCCCGAUAGAACACUAUACCUGGAAUGGUUUGUGUUCCGAAUGAUUUAUCGCCAUAGGAUGGGACUGCGGCCUAUCAGUUUGUUGGUGAGGUAAUGGCCCACCAAGACUAUUACAGGUACGGGCUCUGAGAGGAGUAGCCCGGAGAUGGGUACUGAGACACGGACCCAGGCCCUAUGGGGCGCAGCAGGCGAGAAAACUUUGCAAUGUGCGAAAGCACGACAAGGUUAAUCCGAGUGAUUUGUGCUAAACGAAUCUUUUGUUAGUCCUAGAAACACUAACGAAUAAGGGGUGGGCAAGUUCUGGUGUCAGCCGCCGCGGUAAAACCAACACCUCAAGUGGUCAGGAUGAUUAUUGGGCCUAAAGCAUCCGUAGCCGGCUCUGUAAGUUUUCGGUUAAAUCUGUACGCUUAACGUACAGGCUGCCGGGAAUACUGCAAAGCUAGGGAGUGGGAGAGGUAGACGGUACUCGGUAGGAAGUGGUAAAAUGCUUUGAUCUAUCGAUGACCACCUGUGGCGAACGCGGUCUACCAGAACACGUCCGACGGUGAGGGAUGAAGCUGGGGGAGCAAACCGGAUUAGAUACCGGUAGUCCCAGCUGUAACUAUGCAACUCAGUGAUGCAAUUGACUUGUGUCCGACUGCAGUGCCUGC
rnacentral:rRNA from 1 species